UGGGGAAUAUUGCACAAUGGGCGAAAGCCUGAUGCAGCAACGCCGCGUGAGGGACGACGGCCUUCGGUUGUAACCUCUUUUAGCAAGGAAGAAGCGAAAGUGACGGUACUUGCAGAAAAAAGCGCCGGCUAACUACGUGCCAGCAGCCGCGGUAAUACGUAGGGCGCAAGCGUUAUCCGGAAUUAUUGGGCGUAAAGAGCUCGUAGGCGGUUUGUCGCGUCUGCUGUGAAAACCCGAGGCUCAACCUCGGGCCUGCAGUGGGUACGGGCAGACUAGAGUGCGGUAGGGGAGAUUGGAACUCCUGGUGUAGCGGUGGAAUGCGCAGAUAUCAGGAAGAACACCGAUGGCGAAGGCAGAUCUCUGGGCCGUAACUGACGCUGAGGAGCGAAA
rnacentral:rRNA from 1 species